rnacentral:rRNA from 1 species
CCUACGGGAGGCUGCAGUGAGGAAUAUUGGUCAAUGGACGAGAGUCUGAACCAGCCAAGUAGCGUGAAGGAUGACUGCCCUAUGGGUUGUAAACUUCUUUUAUAUGGGAAUAAAAUGUUCCACGUGUGGGAUUUUGUAUGUACCAUAUGAAUAAGGAUCGGCUAACUCCGUGCCAGCAGCCGCGGUAAUACGGAGGAUCCGAGCGUUAUCCGGGUUUAUUGGGGUUAAAGGGAGCGUAGGUGGAUUGUUAAGUCAGUUGUGAAAGUUUGCGGCUCAACCGUAAAAGUGCAGUUGAAACUGGCAGACUUGAGUAGAGUAGAGGUAGGCGGAAUUCGUGGUGUAGCGGUGAAAUGCUUAGAUAUCACGAAGAACUCCGAUUGCGAAGGCAGCUCACUGGACUGCAACUGACACUGAGGCUCGAAAGUGUGGGUAUCAAACAGGAUUAGAUACCCCAGUAGUC